rnacentral:rRNA from 1 species
GACGAACGCUGGCGGCGUGCUUAACACAUGCAAGUCGAACGGAAAGGCCCCUUCGGGGGUACUCGAGUGGCGAACGGGUGAGUAACACGUGAGUAACCUGCCCUUGACUUCGGGAUAACUUCAGGAAACUGGGGCUAAUACCGGAUAGGAAUCCUUGCUGCAUGGUGGGGGUUGGAAAGCUUCGGCGGUUUUGGAUGGACUCGCGGCUUAUCAGCUUGUUGGUGGGGUAGUGGCUUACCAAGGCUUUGACGGGUAGCCGGCCUGAGAGGGCGACCGGCCACAUUGGGACUGAGAUACGGCCCAGACUCCAACGGGAGGCAGCAGUGGGGAAUAUUGCACAAUGGGCGGAAGCCUGAUGCAGCAACGCCGCGUGCGGGAUGACGGCCUUCGGGUUGUAAACCGCUUUCAGCAGGGGCGAAGCUUGUGGUGACGGUACCUGCAGAAGAAGCACCGGCUAACUACGUG